rnacentral:rRNA from 1 species
UACGUAGGGGGCUAGCGUUGUCCGGAAUCAUUGGGCGUAAAGCGCGUGUAGGCGGUCCGGUAAGUCCGCUGUGAAAGUCGAGGGCUCAACCCUCGAAUGCCGGUGGAUACUGUCGGGCUAGAGUGCGGAAGAGGCGAGUGGAAUUCCUGGUGUAGCGGUGAAAUGCGCAGAUAUCAGGAGGAACACCUAUUGCGAAGGCAGCUCGCUGGGACGUAACUGACGCUGAGACGCGAAAGCGUGGGGAGCAAACGGG